rnacentral:rRNA from 1 species
UGAACGCUGGCGGCGUGCUUAACACAUGCAAGUCGUACGAGAAAUCUUUAGCUUGCUAGAGAGAGUAAAGUGGCGCACGGGUGAGUAACGCGUGGAUAAUCUACCCUUGAAUCGGGGAUAACAUUGCGAAAGCGAUGCUAAUACCGGAUGAUAUCAUAAAAGCUUCGGCUUUAAUGAUCAAAGAUGACCUCUACCUGUAAGUUGUUGUUUGAGGAGGAGUCCGCGUACCAUUAGCUUGUUGGUAGGGUAACGGCCUACCAAGGCCACGAUGGUUAGCUGGUCUGAGAGGAUGAUCAGCCACACUGGAACUGACACACGGUCCAGACUCCUACGGGAGGCAGCAGUGAGGAAUUUUGCGCAAUGGGGGAAACCCUGACGCAGCAACGCCGCGUGAGUGAUGAAGGCUUUAGGGUCGUAAAGCUCUGUCAAGUGGGAAGAACCUAUCCGGGAGUAAUAUGUCCGGGUAAUGACGGUACCACUGAAGGAAGCACCGGCUAACUCC